rnacentral:rRNA from 1 species
UACGGAGGGUGCAAGCGUUACUCGGAAUCACUGGGCGUAAAGAGCGUGUAGGCGGAUAGAUAAGUCAGAAGUGAAAUCCAAUAGCUUAACUGUUGAACUGCUUUUGAAACUGCCUAUCUAGAGUAUGGGAGAGGUAGAUGGAAUUUCUGGUGUAGGGGUAAAAUCCGUAGAGAUCAGAAGGAAUACCGAUUGCGAAGGCGAUCUACUGGAACAUAACUGACGCUGAGACGCGAAAGCGUGGGGAGCAAACAGGAUUAGAUACCCCGGUAGU